rnacentral:ncRNA from 2 species
AAUAAUUGCUAGGGGUGCCUUAAGGCUGAGAGAUAGAUGAACUCUAUUAACCCUUAUACCUGAUCUGGAUAAUGCCAGCGUAGGAAAGCUACUAAAUAUAUUA